UACGUAGGGUGCAAGCGUUAAUCGGAAUUACUGGGCGUAAAGCGUGCGCAGGCGGCUAUGCAAGACAGAUGUGAAAUCCCCGGGCUCAACCUGGGAACUGCAUUUGUGACUGCAUGGCUAGAGUACGGUAGAGGGGGAUGGAAUUCCGCGUGUAGCAGUGAAAUGCGUAGAUAUGUGGAGGAACACCGAUGGCGAAGGCAGCCCCCUGGGUUAACACUGACGCUCAUGCACGAAAGCGUGGGGAGCAAACAGG
rnacentral:rRNA from 1 species